GGGCUAAGAGGUGUAUGCAGAGGGAGAGUGUGGCCAAGUCCUUGCCUGAUCCUGAGAAGGUUGUUGAGUUCAUGGCUAUGCUCAGGAAGAGAUUUGGGGUUGAGUAGAUCCUGUUUGUUCGUCGUUUGAUUCCUAUCUUUGCUCAGUUGUGUUCUGUUUUACUUUGGUUUGAUGAUCAUGUCUUUUUAAAUAAUGCCAGAGCUAUGGAUGGAUGUGGAGAGAACAAUAACAAAUGAUGAAUGUGGAAUGGAACAAGAUUUAUUGUUGUAAAGCCAAACCAGGAUCAUGUCUUUUUAAAUGAUAUACUGGGCGAUGUUGCAUGCUCUUUUGGCUACAGUCGUGGUCUAACCAAAAACUUGUAAUCUCCUGGUUUCUUGUUAUGGCACGGGCUCAAAGUGGUGUGUUGUCUUCGCUAUAUGGUUUUGUCUUUCUAUUCAUUUUUUAGAUUUUCAUUAACCAAGCAGAUUGUGGUUUCAACAUUUUUAUUGAUUCGAAUCACAGACUGGCUUGGCUUUACAACAAUAAAUUUUAAAAAGGUUAUGUAGAAGCUUUGGUUUAAAUAAUGCCAGAGCUUUGGUUUGAUGAUCAUGUCUCAGUUGCUCAGUUGCGUGGAAUAAAUGAUGUUUUAGUAACAA